UACGGAGGGUGCAAGCGUUAUCCGGAUUCACUGGGUUUAAAGGGUGCGUAGGAGGGCAGGUAAGUCAGUGGUGAAAUCUCCAAGCUUAACUUGGAAACUGCCGUUGAUACUAUCUGUCUUGAAUAUUGUGGAGGUGAGCGGAAUACGUCAUGUAGCGGUGAAAUGCUUAGAUAUGACAUAGAACACCAAUUGCGAAGGCAGCUCACUACUCAAUCAUUGACUCUGAGGCACGAAAGCGUGGGGAUCAAACAGG
rnacentral:rRNA from 1 species